GCCUGUUAGAGUUACUACAAUAUAUGAAGAAUUGUUCCUGAACCUAUUCAUUGUAUAUUUGAGUCCAGGGCUACUGAUAUAUUUCUUGAGUCAAAAACAGAGAGAGAAUUCAGAUUAUGUGCCUGUUAGUCAACAAUCAGAGGAUGACAAGCCUAACACAGCAGAUGAUGAUGAAUUAACUGAACUUACUCCACCUGAAGCUUAAAAAAUAACCUAAUAAACCAGGAUUAUGGACAUGGAGGUGAUUUUCACAGAAGAAAGGAAGAGUGAAUUAAUAUACAACAUAUUAAAUAAAGUGAAGGUUACAUUUUGUAAUCAUUUUAGUAGUUAAGAC